rnacentral:rRNA from 1 species
AUUGAACGCUGGCGGCAGGCCUAACACAUGCAAGUCGAGCGGAUGAAGGGAGCUUGCUCCUGGAUUCAGCGGCGGACGGGUGAGUAAUGCCUAGGAAUCUGCCUGGUAGUGGGGGGUAACGUCCGGAAACGGGCGCUAAUACCGCAUACGUCCUGAGGGAGAAAGUGGGGGAUCUUCGGACCUCACGCUAUCAGAUGAGCCUAGGUCGAAUUAGCUAGUUGGUGGGGUAAAGGCCUACCAAGGCGACGAUCCGUAACUGGUCUGAGAGGAUGAUCAGUCACACUGGAACUGAGACACGGUCCAGACUCCUACGGGAGGCAGCAGUGGGGAAUAUUGGACAAUGGGCGAAAGCCUGAUCCAGCCAUGCCGCGUGUGUGAAGAAGGUCUUCGGAUUGUAAAGCACUUUAAGUUGGGAGGAAGGGCAGUAAGUUAAUACCUUGCUGUUUUGACGUUACCAACAGAAUAAGCACCGGCUAACUUCGUG